rnacentral:lncRNA from 1 species
UGUUGCUAUCAACAUGAUCAUAAAAGUGACUGUAAAUGUCAAAAUUUGUUAUUAAAAUUAAAUUUGUUGAAUAGUGUUAACUUUAAAUUAUCCGGAUUGAAGCAAUUUUUCGAACAUCAGGUACACUGCAAGUGGUUUUUACUGGUUUGUUUAUAGUGCGUCAUUACUGGUACCCAUCAUAAGUUGACAGUCCGUUUGUAAUGUUAGCAAACAUGAUUUUUAUUGCUUUUACUGUUUCAAAAAUCAACUGUUUAAUGAUUGAAAUACAUUAACAAGUGAUCAAUCUUUCAUUCUAUUCCGUGUUUCUUUUUCUUUUAAAUGGUAGAUUAAAUGCAGAGACAAACACAACGUUAGGUGCGUCAUUACUGGUUCCUCGGGGAUAUUUUUG